rnacentral:rRNA from 1 species
AUACGUAGGUGACAAGCGUUAUCCGGAUUUACUGGGCGUAAAGGGCGUGUAGGCGGUCUUGCAAGUCAGAAGUGAAAUUCCUGAGCUCAACUCGGGCGCUGCUUCUGAAACUGCAGGACUUGAGUGCUGGAGGGGAUAGCGGAAUUCCUAGUGGAGCGGUAAAAUGCGCAGAUAUUAGGAAGAACACCGGUGGCGAAGGCGGCUAUCUGGACAGUAACUGACGCUGAGGCGCGAAAGCGUGGGGAGCAAACAGGAUUAGAUACCCUGUAAGUCCACGCCGUAAACGAUGAAUACUAGGUGUAGGGGGUAUCGACUCCCUCUGUGCCGCAGUUAACACAAUAAGUAUUCCGCCUGGGGAGUACGGACGCAAGGUUGAAACUCAAAGGAAUUGACGGGG